rnacentral:snRNA from 1 species
GUGAACAUCUAAAUCUAUC